ensembl:lncRNA
UUUUCGUUUUUAUGGAUGAAAAAAAACUCCGCCAAUUUAGUUUGCCAAUUCCACAUUUUUCAAUCAAUGAACUGUUUGAAGUAAGUGAAUAUGAUUUUUACAAAUUAGCACAAACAGAAGAUAUUACAAUUGUAUCAAAAUAUGAGGAAGUGCUACAGAAAGAAGAAAAAAUAAACACAGAACAAAAUUUUAAAAACGGAAAUGAAAAGGAAAAUGAAAGUGGAAGCGAGAGUGAAAAUGAAAGGCUUUUUAUGAAUUAUCUUAAAAAUAUAGUGAAAAUAGAUGAUAAUAGUAAUAACAAUAUAAAUAAUAAAAAUGAUUAUAAUUACUUUAAGAAUUUAACGCAGGAUUCCUACAAUGAUUUAUCAGGUAAAGUAAACUCAUCCAACUCAAAGGUAACUAAUACUACUACUGUACGUGCCGAUACAUCAGUAGGUGCUACUGCUACUACACAUGAUGCUACCCAAAACAAUUUAAAAAAAAAAAAAAAAGCCUUAAAAAAAAACGUUCACAUUUUUGAAAAAUUCCCAAAUAUUUCCAUAAGAACAGAUUUGAAAAAAAAAUGGAUUUACCACACACCACCAAAAAAAUUUACAAUAUGUAAAAUUGAUUUACAAGAAUUUGAAAAGGAAUGUAAUUUGAUAUAUAAACGUUUAGAAAUAAAACCCAGUUAUUAUAGUGAAAAUGCAGAGAGUGUAGUGAAUUCAUUUGAGGUACAUACAUGUGAUGAACAACAUCCCAUCGCACAAAAAAAAGGAAUAUAUACCAGAAAAGAAAAUAUAAUAAGAAAUAUAAAUGAGAUAUCAAAUGGGAAAGCAUCCAGUAUUGAACAAUUGGAUGAGGAAGCAUCAUGUUAUAAAGUAAAUAUUCACCCAUGUGCUACGAGAGAGAAAAAUAAAGAAGAUGAAAUUCGAAAUUUAAAAAAAAAAAAUUACAACGACUUAAUAGAAAUAUUACAAUCAGGUAUUCGCAACCCUACACUUAAUGAAAUUAUUAAUGACGUAGUUUAUUAUAAUUGUAAGAAUUGGCAAGAUAAAAUUGAUUUACCUACAUUAAAAACAGUAACGGAUUUAUCUAAAAAAAGAAAAGUAUUAAACAGAACUAAAUGCUAUUUAAGUUGGAUUCCCAAAACUGAAAAUAAUACUUUUAAUAAAUAUCAAAUUAUAUCUAAAUUAAAGAAAAAAACGAUAUCCAAAACAUUUAAAUUAGUAUGUGAUUUUAAUAAUUCUAUUUUAAAAACUGUAUAUAUUAAUCAAAAUGCUAUUAAUAGGUUAGAUAUAGAAGAGAAUGAGGAAGCUGAAAAUGAAAAAGAAAAAAAAAAAAAAGAAUUUUUUACAUAUGAAAAUAUAUUAAAUAAUAAUAUAUAUUUUAAUGAUAUUUUUAUAGUAAUUGUUUCUUUUUAUCAUCCUAUUCGAGGUAUUAAAUUAGCUGAAUUUGAAAUUUUAUCUAAUCAAACAUUAGCAGAUUUGACAGAUGUUUUUUUUUGUUAUGAUUCAUCUAAUUAUGGGUUACCAAAAUGUUCAGGAUCAGUUUAUUAUAUUGAUGGGAUUUUAUACCCCGAUUUACGAAAUAAAGAUGCAUUAGAUUAUUCUUUAUGUAUUUUAAAUUUUUAUAAAAAAAUCGCAAAUAAUAAUUUUAUUAAACCACCAUAUAAAAUAAACCAAGAUAAAGCUAUUCUUAAAAAUAUAAAAAUACCAUUAUAUGAAAAGUGUUGUUUUUUGCAUCAAGGAAAUUGUGAACAUCGUAUUAUUUUUCAAAACAUACGAACAUAUGACUAUUUUAGAGAUAAACAUUUUUCGAAAUACCCUCUUCGAACUUUCAAACCUAAGAUAACUAAAAAGUAUUGUAUGUGUUGUCAUAAAACGGUUGCUCAAAAAAUUAUAUUAGAUUGUUAUUUAUUUAAAGAAAACCCAUCAUACAUUUGUAACAGCUGUUUUGAUAUGUUUUUGUUUGACAAGGAUGGUAAACCCGUUGAUCAUAUGAUGCAGUACUUUGAUUACAUAGACGACAUUUAAUUUGGGCUCAUGUGUGUAUGAGUGAGUAUGUUUUGUGAUAAGUGCUCAUAACUAUUGACAACAUACAGAUGCAUGUAUACAUAUAUAUUUCCCUAUCCUGCAUGUAUAUCUUUGCAGAUAUUCAUAUGUACCUUCUUUUUAAAAGACCCUUAUUUCAAUAUGUGUUAAAUGCAUAUAUAUACAUAGUUGCAUACAUAUAUGUAUACCUUUUUUUUUUUCUUUUUUUUUCUUUUUUAAAAAAGAAUAAAUUUUGAUUUAAAAUAAGAGAAAUUAAACCU